GUGGGGAAUAUUGCACAAUGGGCGAAAGCCUGAUGCAGCAACGCCGCGUGAGGGACGACGGCCUUCGGGUUGUAAACCUCUUUUAGUAGGGAAGAAGCGAAAGUGACGGUACCUGCAGAAAAAGCACCGGCUAACUACGUGCCAGCAGCCGCGGUAAUACGUAGGGUGCAAGCGUUAUCCGGAAUUAUUGGGCGUAAAGAGCUCGUAGGCGGUCUGUCGCGUCUGCUGUGAAAACUGGAGGCUCAACCUCCAGCCUGCAGUGGGUACGGGGAGACUAGAGUGCGGUAGGGGAGAUUGGAAUUCCUGGUGUAGCGGUGGAAUGCGCAGAUAUCAGGAGGAACACCGAUGGCGAAGGCAGAUCUCUGGGCCGUAACUGACGCUGAGGAGCGAAAGCGUGGGGAGCGAACAGGAUUAGAAACCCUGGUAGUCC
rnacentral:rRNA from 1 species